rnacentral:rRNA from 1 species
CGUUUAGAGAGUGGUUUAGUGGCGGACCGGGUGAGUAACACGUGAGCAACCUACCUUUCAGAGGGGGAUAACAGUUGGAAACGACUGCUAAUACCGCAUAACGUUGUAAAAGGGCAUCCAUUUACAACCAAAAGAGAAAUCUGCUGAAAGAUGGGCUCGCGGCCGAUUAGAUAGUAGGCGGGGUAACGGCCCACCGGGGCGACGAUCAGUAGGGGUUCUGAGAGGAAGGUCCCCCACAUUGGAACUGAGACACGGUCCAAACUCCUACGGGAGGCAGCAG